CGGCUCCUCUCUAAUAAGCCCAGGAUUGUUCACAAAAACAGGAGGGGGAAAAAAUCUGAUAGAAAUGCGUUUGUAAGGCCGGGCGGCGAGUAUUUGCAUGGCGAUGAAGGCCGGGAGUGUUCUGCAGUGACUGAGAUGCGAGUCUCAGACAAUACAUGCUGUGUUUGUUCUUCCCGGGGAAGUUUGACGAGGAAAGGAGAAGGAGGAGAAGGAGGAGGAUUGGGCUCCUUCACACCCAGCGGGGAUCUCUCUCGUGACUUGGCGGACGCAGAAUCUCAAACAGUAACUGGCAUGUAUGACAUCCUACCAGGAAGGAUUACACAACUACCAAGAUCAUGGGUUCUUAUGGUGGCAAAUGAAGAAUUAGCCAAAAUGGGGAAAGGACACUAGAAUCUCCUGCCCACUGGCAAAAAUGCACACAAAAAUACCCUGUGGACAAUAAAAAUGGCCACCCCUAGAGUUUUAGCGAUAGUGACGGUCUUCUCCAUGAUUCUCGGCGGCAUCCCGAGUGACAUUAAAGGCUCUCGGGGUUUGGAGACGCAGCAUUUGGCCCAGAAGUCUACUUAUCCUCAGCGUCGCCUGAAAAGAAGCUGGAUAUGGACACAGUUGUUUGUCCCUGAGGAAGAUCCCUCUCUUGGUGUUAUUGGACAGAUCAGGUCCGACUCUGACCGAGGCGAUUUAUCCAUCAAGUACAUAUUGACAGGAGAAGGUGCCGGAGAUGUCUUUGAGAUAGAUGAGUUUUCUGGUGAGAUCAAUAUACGUCCUUCAACUGUUUCUCAAGGUAUCAACAGACAAAGACAUAGUGAGCUUUGAGGAUGAGUUUUCCCUGAAAAAGCUCGAACGUU
rnacentral:lncRNA from 1 species